GGCUCGGUGCUGCAGUGGUUAGCUCUGCUGCCUCACAGUAAGAAGGUCGUCAGUUCAAAUCCGGCCUGGGGCC